AAACAUGCAAGUCGAGCGCACCUUCGGGUGAGCGGCGGACGGGUUAGUAACGCGUGGGAACGUACCCAGAUCUAAGGAAUAGCCACUGGAAACGGUGAGUAAUACCUUAUACGCCCUUCGGGGGAAAGAUUUAUCGGAUUUGGAUCGGCCCGCGUUAGAUUAGGUAGUUGGUGGGGUAAUGGCCUACCAAGCCUACGAUCUAUAGCUGGUUUUAGAGGAUGAUCAGCAACACUGGGACUGAGACACGGCCCAGACUCCUACGGGAGGCAGCAGUGGGGAAUCUUAGACAAUGGGGGCAACCCUGAUCUAGCCAUGCCGCGUGAGUGAAGAAGGUCUUAGGAUCGUAAAGCUCUUUCGCCAGGGAUGAUAAUGACAGUACCUGGUAAAGAAACCCCGGCUAACUCCGUGCCAGCAGCCGCGGUAAUACGGAGGGGGUUAGCGUUGUUCGGAAUUACUGGGCGUAAAGCGCGCGUAGGCGGAUCAGAAAGUUGGGGGUGAAAUCCCAGGGCUCAACCCUGGAACUGCCUCCAAAACUCCUGGUCUUGAGUUCGAGAGAGGUGAGUGGAACUCCGAGUGUAGAGGUGAAAUUCGUAGAUAUUCGGAAGAACACCAGUGGCGAAGGCGGCUCACUGGCUCGAUACUGACGCUGAGGUGCGAAAGUGUGGGGAGCAAACAGGAUUAGAUACCCUGGUAGUCCACACCGUAAACGAUGAAUGCCAGUCGUCGGGUAGUAUACUAUUCGGUGACACACCUAACGGAUUAAGCAUUCCGCCUGGGGGAGUACGGUCGCAAGAUUAAAA
rnacentral:rRNA from 1 species